UGCUUAUGCACUGCCAGUAGAGGGGUGGCUCACCCUUUUUCUUGCCAGCCCAUUCUGAAUCUGGGCAUUUCUCCUGGGAAGUUCUUCCUCAGAUGGAGUGGAGGGUGAUUGCUAGCUCCACACUCACACCGCCCAAAUGCUGAGGAGAUGAACCCUGAUGUAGGCCGAGGCCUCUGGGUGCUCACUGUCCCUGUCUCUGAAAGGUCAGCUGUUCCUGAAAGGAACCCUUCCAGCCUUCUAUUUCCAGCACAGUCUUUUCCUCCACAUUGAUUGCCUUCUGUUGAGCAGACCAGAUUGAGGAGAUCGAUGACAUUAAUUUGCACUGAGAAGAAGUUGGUGAUUUUCCUCCUUCAGCUGUGACAAGGCUGCCUGAGGCUUUUGGUCAGAAAAAGAUGCCAGCUUUAAAAAAUCUCUGCAGAAGUUUUCUCAGAAGAAUCGCAGAAUCUUGGAGCAGGAAGAAGCUUCCAGAAGACUUAAUUUUAUCCAAUUUCUUCACGGCGGAUGAAGGCACACGGAGCCCACAGUAUGGAAAGAGUGUGCCUCAGGAAACAGAGCUGAACACUUGCUCUUUUCAUGUUUUCCUCUUUUAUCUGGACCUUGGCCCCCCGGGUAGGAGGCACCUGGGGCUGGCUGAGGCACAGGAUGAGUGGAGAGGAAGGCUCUGUGGGAGCCACUCCCAUAGCCCAGAUUUAGCAGAGAUUCCGUUCGGAAGGAUUCUGGCGAAACAGCGUGAGUUGACAACUCUGCUUCUGAAUAGUACAUUAUUUAUUCAGUGCCAGCCACGAGCCCGGCAGGUGAUGAGCUAAACUAAACUUGCUGGCACACACACGCAGAACUCAGGAACAGCAGAGUGAUGGCAGCCUCAUCUCAAAGUGGCUCCUUCAAGGAGGAGGACUAAGAGUGUUAAG
rnacentral:lncRNA from 10 species